CGGAGGGUGCAAGCGUUAUCCGGAUUCACUGGGUUUAAAGGGUGCGUAGGUGGGCUUGUAAGUCAGUGGUGAAAUCUCCGGGCUUAACCCGGAAACUGCCAUUGAUACUAUAGGUCUUGAAUUAUCUGGAGGUCAGCGGAAUAUGUCAUGUAGCGGUGAAAUGCUUAGAUAUGACAUAGAACACCAAUUGCGAAGGCAGCUGGCUACAGGUAUAUUGACACUGAGGCACGAAAGCGUGGGGAUCAAACAGGAUUAGAUACCCUGGUAGUCCACGCCCUAAACGAUGGAUACUCGACAUUUGUGAUACACAAUAAGUGUCUGAGCGAAAGCAUUAAGUAUCCCACCUGGGAAGUACGACCGCAAGGUUG
rnacentral:rRNA from 1 species